CGUUUAAAGAUGUGUAUUUGUAUUUUUCUGUACGCCACAUGUAAAUGCAUAAUGUAUAUUGCUGUGAAAUUUUGCAUAUACAUAGUAUACACGUGCACGUGUCUUCUAAUUUAAAUUUGUAAUUUUACAUGCUCUAAAAAAAAUAGAAUUUGAAAACAAGCUCACUGGAGCUCGGCCUUCGUCGGCAUUUUUCGCCGCCCACGACCAUCCCAUUUUGGUCGAGAGUUUCCCUCAUUGGAAUCCAGUUUUGCAGUUUCAACUUGCCAACUCUGGGGCCGCCGCCUGGCUGCCUAGAGAUACGCAGGAGCAGUAGUACAACUUAUUUUCUGUACCAAUUUUCUUAUUUGAAUAUUGCCAGCAUAGAGCAGUUUCUAGAAAAAAUUCGGAUUGCAACAAUGACAGUACGCUUCACAAGUGGAGGCUCGCCGGCCUCAGUUUCUUCUAUAGUAGUUCCACAAUUACAAGAGCAAAACGAAUCGAUCACUGGAGAUACAUAUGUACUGCUUGAGACCUUGGUACUCUAGCGCGGUGCCUUAUGAACAGAUCAAUGUCCCUCUAUGCCUGGUUUCUUAUGCGGACGACAGCCAACGAUAAGCUCGAUCCUCUCAAAACAAACUCAUCCCUAAGGCGGCGAAGGC
rnacentral:lncRNA from 1 species